GAUGAAGAACGCAGCAAAAUGCGAUAAGUAAUGUGAAUUGCAGAAUUCAGUGAAUCAUCGAAUCUUUGAACGCACAUUGCGCCCGCCAGUAUUCUGGCGGGCAUGCCUGUUCGAGCGUCAUUUCAACCCUCAAGCUCAGCUUGGUGUUGGGACUCGCGGUAACCCGCGUUCCCCAAAUCGAUUGGCGGUCACGUCGAGCUUCCAUAGCGUAGUAAUCAUACACCUCGUUACUGGUAAUCGUCGCGGCCACGCCGUAAAACCCCAACUUCUGAAUGUUGACCUCGGAUCAGUUAGGAAUACCCGCUGAACUUAAGCAUAUCAAUAAGCGGAGGA
rnacentral:misc_RNA from 1 species